UUGGCCAGGCUGGUCUCGAACUCCUGACCUUGUGAUCCACCCUCCUCAGCCUCCCAAAGUGCUGGGAUUACAGGCGUGAGCCACUGCGCCUGGCUGUUUUUCUUUUAACAGUCAGGCCCCUCUACAGCUGCUGGGCUGCGCUGUGGGGAAUUCUGCCCAGUCCAAACCUCAGAAUCUCCCUAGCACUGGCCAGGGAAAACCGCCUCCCAGGUUCAAACGACUCUCCUCCCUCAGCCUCUUGAGUAUCCAGGAUUACAGGCAUGCA
rnacentral:lncRNA from 1 species